rnacentral:misc_RNA from 1 species
ACCAAGAAGUGGUCUUCCCAAAAUUUUUACUUAUCUCUACAGUACUGCCAGGAAUCCAUUGGAUGAGCAUUCAGACCUUGAUACAAUUGAUUUGGCUACUGUGUCUACGUUAGCUGGUUAUGGAUAUGGACUUCCAAUAAGUCGUUUAUAUGCUCGCUACUUUGGAGGGGAUUUGCAAAUUAUCUCCAUGGAAGGCUAUGGUACUGAUGCUUAUCUGCAUUUAUCGCGGUUGGGAGAUUCGCAAGAGCCAUUACCUUGAUAUUUGAUGGUGGGAGAGAACUCCUCUGUAGAUAUUUCAAUUCAAGAAAACAGUAUUAUUGCAUGAAACGAUACUAUGAUGUGCACUGGGCAAUCUGAUAUUCAUCCUUUUCAUUUUUUUUCCUUGUUAUUACUGUGGUGUCUUGAUAAAUUUAUGUACACUUCAACUAGUUCUAUGCUCGGGCAAAGUCAAUGUGUAGCUUGCGGGUUCAGCCAAGGGCAACAAUGUGUAGCUUGCGGGUUCAGCCAAGGGCA